rnacentral:rRNA from 1 species
CAGAGACUGCGAGCGUUAUUCGGAUUCACUGGGCGUAAAGGGUGCGCAGGCGGCCAAGUGUGUGAGGCGUGAAAGCCCGAUGCUUAACAUCGGAAUUGCACCUCAAACUACAUGGCUAGAGCAUUGGAGAGGGUAGCGGAAUUCACGGUGUAGCAGUGAAAUGCGUAGAUAUCGUGAGGAACACCAGAGGCGAAGGCGGCUACCUGGACAAUUGCUGACGCUCAGGCACGAAAGCGUGGGGAGCAAAAGGGAUUAGAUACCCCUGUAGUCCACGCCCUAAACGGUGCACACUAGGUCUUGGCGGAUUCGACCCCACCAGGGCCCAAGCUAACGCGUUAAGUGUGCCGCCUGAGGACUACGGCCGCAAGGCUA